CAGACAGAGCAUAGAAGCUUGCAAGAGGAGGGAAGGAAAGGGGGAGAGAAAGCGGAGCAUCGGAUGCCGUUCAGUUCAAAAGCUGGGAUGCCUCUACUCCAAUAAUGGCGACGGCUCCAGCGUCCCUACGGGCUCCUCGUCCUCCUCGCCUGUAGCCCUAACCGUAGCCCCACAAAUCUCCCUCCCAUCUCCUCGCCGCCGGGCCCUCCCUCCUUCUCUCGCUCCUCUUCUUCAUCCUCCACCGCGAUGCCGCGAGAGGCCCCGCCGCCGCCGCCAGUGAUCGGUAAGGCCGGGAGGUACACCGUGUUCAUCACCCCGCCGCGCGCCCCCAAACCCUCCGAUGCUCCGAGCGUGAAUCCGCAGGCCGCCAGCCCUGUAAAGGUGGCUCCUUUGCCGCGGAAGGCUACCCCUUCGCCACCACCUCCGCCUCCGGUGCAGGUUCCACCCAUGCAGUUCGAGAAGCCGUCGACCAAGUCAUCGGGAUCCGUGUUCGGGUUCCUCUGGGACGCCAUCGCCAAAGUCCAAGAUGCGCAUUCCAGCCUCGAUGAGUACUUGGCGGACUGGUUCGGGUUGAACCAGUCCAAGUAUCAGUGGGCGUUGAACGAUUACUACGAGAACAACGGAAAGGCUUCGAUGGUUCUGUUUGCACUUGGAUUUCAAGAAGAGUGGCAUUUCCUUCUGAAGUGUCAAAGUUAAACGACGUUAGCUUGAAAAGAUAUUUGUGCAGAGCAAGAGAUCGGAAAAACAAGAGAAGGAAAGUGGUAAAGGUGGUAAACCAAAGGAUCUUGUUAGCAAAGAGCAAGCUCUCUGAUAGGUUAAUAAAUAGCAACCCUUUUCCAACAUUGUGUGGAGAUUAUGAAAACAAAGGCAUAUCUCAUCAAAUGCCUUCUGUACGUCUGAGGUUGAUUUUAUGCAUGUCUGCUAAUGACUAACGGGUGUUGCAGUAUAAUGUCAUCAAGCUGAUUAUGUAUAUGGGAGCCAACCAAAGAGGCUUAGGUUUACAGCAAAUGCAUGUGCCACCAGUUCAAAAUUUUCACCUGUUAAGCAUGCUUGCUUUUGCUCUUUGUAAACCAGUAUCGAAGUCGUCUUGUAAAAGCAUUAUGUUGUAAAGCAUAAUGCUUUACCCACGUCCUUGUAAAUGUAUGGAAGUUGUUCGCAUGUCAAACUUACUUUAUUAAUGUCUAUGUCGCUUUCCAUUAGUUUACUAUUA